rnacentral:rRNA from 1 species
UCGAGGAUCUUCGGCAAUGGGCGCAAGCCUGACCGAGCGACGCCGCGUGUGCGAUGAAGGCCUUCGGGUUGUAAAGCACUGUCGGGGGGGAGAAAAGGCAACCUGAUCGACCCCCGGAGGAAGCUCGGGCUAAGUUCGUGCCAGCAGCCGCGGUAAGACGAACCGAGCGAACGUUGUUCGGAAUCACUGGGCUUAAAGGGCGCGUAGGCGGGCCGUCUAGUCCGUGGUGAAAUCCUCCGGCUCAACCGGAGAAGUGCCUCGGAUACUGGCGGCCUCGAGGGGGGUAGGGGCGUGCGGAACUUCCGGUGGAGCGGUGAAAUGCGUAGAUAUCGGAAGGAACACCGGUGGCGAAAGCGGCGCGCUGGACCCCAUCUGACGCUGAGGCGCGAAAGCCAGGGGAGCAAACGGGAUUAGAUACCCCCGUAGUCC